rnacentral:rRNA from 1 species
UACGUAGGGGGCAAGCGUUGUCCGGAAUCAUUGGGCGUAAAGAGCGCGCAGGCGGUCGUUCAAGUCGCGUGUGAAAGCCCCCGGCUCAACUGGGGAGGGUCACGCGAUACUGAUCGACUCGAAGGCAGGAGAGGGUAGUGGAAUUCCCGGUGUAGUGGUGAAAUGCGUAGAUAUCGAGAGGAACACCUGCGGCGAAGGCGGGUUGCUGGGCUGACACUGACGCUGAGGCGCGAAAGCCAGGGGAGCGAACGGG